GAAUGUCUGACUCGGGGCUCGCGCCUGUUCUGAGGAGCAUUGUGAAGAGGAACCCCCAGGUAUCGACCAUGGCCCUGCUGGCUGCUAAUACCGCCUGGCAGAGGGGCUACAUAAGAGGGGGAAAUCUCUUCAGUGACAGGAGGGAAACGAGCCAGGUCAUGAACUUAAAAUGCUUCCAGACAGAAAUUGAACAAACCAAACAGAAGAGAAUCACUAGCCACAUGGUUACGUGAGGUUCAUUUAGAAGAGGAAGCAAAGGGCAGCAGAAGAGUGAACUGGAGAGAACUAAUAGAUGUUCUUAAAUCAUAUUUGGCUUCUGCUGCUGCUGUGCCACAGAUGUGAGCCAGGCCAGUUGG